GAACUGCUGACGAGUCCUACACUAGGAUGAAACGACCGUCUAGUGC
rfam:Schistosoma haematobium scaffold1621_14, whole genome shotgun sequence.